AUGACCCAUGUGCAAACCAGGACACUUGAAGCAAGCGCCCGUCUCCCAUUGACACCGAUCGAUAGGCAUUGCGAGAUGGACACCGAGGUGCCCUUUCUUUCCGGCGUGGACGAGGAUGGCCUGCCGCUCGCCGGCGUCUCCGACUUCCGCGGCCGCCCAGUCUACCGCAACACCUCCGGCGGAUGGCGCGCCGCCCUCUUCGUCGUCGUGAUGGAGCUCGCCAGCACUUUCGCCAACUACGGCGUGUCGGCGAACCUUAUCACGUAUCUGACAGGGCCGUUGGGCCACUCCAACGCCUCCGCGGCGGCCGCCGUGAACAUCUGGUCGGGGACGGCGAGCCUCAUGCCUCUGCUGGGCGCCUUCGUGGCCGACUCGUGGCUGGGGCGCUACCGGUCCAUCAUACUCGCCAGCACCCUCUACGCCCUGGACGCUCGCACGCGGAUGGUGCUCCACCGAUGUGACAGCCCCGACGAGCUCUACCCGGUUCACUCCGCCGCCUCCACCACUUCCGCCGCCCCUGUCGCUCUCGCCACCGGAGUGGAUCUCUGGCACGCUCGCUUGGGUCAUCCUAAUCAUGCCACCCUUCGCCACAUACUUCGGAGUUUUUCUUUCACGUGUAAUAAGAACGAGGAUCACUCAUGUCAUGCAUGCCGCCUUGGCAAACAUGCUCGCCUUCCGUUUAGGGCUUCUUCCUUUGUUGCAUCGUACCCGUUUGAGUUGAUUCAUAGUGAUGUUUGGACAUCUCCUGUUGCAAGUAAUACGGGCUUUCUUUAUUACCUUGUCAUCCUUGAUGAUUUUUUGCAUUAUGUGUGGACCUUCCCGUUGCGCCGCAAGUCGGACGUUAUCUCCACUCUUGUCGGUUUCUACUCUUAUGUCCGCACGCAGUUUGGCCGGCCCAUUCUUGUGUUGCAGACAGACAACGGGAAGGAGUUUGACAACACCGCUGUCCGCGAUCUUCUCGCCACACAUGGCACGAUCUUUCGCCUCACUUGCCCGUACACCUCGCAGCAGAACGGUCGUGCUGAGCGCAUCCUUCGCACUCUUAAUGACUGCGUUCGGACUCUUCUCUUUCACGCCAAUGUGCCCCCGUGCUUUUGGCCUGACGCUCUAGCCACCGCUUCCCUCCUCAUAAACAUCCGACCAUGUCGUACUGGCGGGAACUUUACACCUCACCACCUUCUAUUCGGUGCACCCCCCCUCUUAUGA
rnacentral:rRNA from 1 species